GGGAGCGGGUGCUGUCCUCUCGCUCUCCACCCCCACCUCCUUGGGUUUUUUUAUUUAUUUAUUCCCCCCCAUCCUUUAACAGAGCCAGCAAGCUUGCUCCGCCUGGACUCUGAGAACCACCGACCGUGCACCCCGGGGCGGGGUGGGGAGGGGGGGGCUUUAAUUCCAACGGGAUCUGCCCGCAGCCCUUCCCCGACAAACUUAGGGCACGCCUCCGGCAUCUCCCGGGACAGCGUUUCGAGGCUGCCGCUGCCCAGCACCCGAUAAUGCAAUGGCUGAAAGACAAGGAAGUGGCGGAAUAAGUGGAUGGAGACGCUGGAUAUUAGCAAUAACUCUGAUGCUGUGGAGUCACCAGACCAGUGCACAAGGACAAGAUACUAAAAGCCAACCUCACAGCCCAUAGAGCACUUCUGUA